rnacentral:rRNA from 1 species
GCCAGACUCCUACGGGAGGCAGCAGUGAGGAAUAUUGGUCAAUGGUCGGGAGACUGAACCAGCCAAGCCGCGUGAGGGAUGAAGGUACAGAGUAUCGUAAACCUCUUUUGUCAGGGAACAAAGGCGGGGACUAGUCCCCGGAUGAGGGUACCUGAAGAAAAAGCAUCGGCUAACUCCGUGCCAGCAGCCGCGGUAAUACGGAGGAUGCGAGCGUUAUCCGGAUUUAUUGGGUUUAAAGGGUGCGCAGGCGGAAUGUCAAGUCAGCGGUAAAAUUUCGGGGCUCAACCCCGUCGUGCCGUUGAAACUGGCGUUCUUGAGUGAGCGAGAAGUAUGCGGAAUGCGUGGUGUAGCGGUGAAAUGCAUAGAUAUCACGCAGAACUCCGAUUGCGAAGGCAGCAUACCGGCGCUCAACUGACGCUCAUGCACGAAAGCGUGGGUAUCGAACAGGAUUAGAUACCCUAGUAGU